rnacentral:rRNA from 1 species
GACGAACGCUGGCGGCGUGUUUACACAUGCAAGUCGAACGGAAAGGCCCUGCUUUUGUGGGGUGCUCGAGUGGCGAACGGGUGAGUAACACGUGAGUAACCUGCCCUUGACUUUGGGAUAACUUCAGGAAACUGGGGCUAAUACCGGAUAGGAGCUCCUGCUGCAUGGUGGGGGUUGGAAAGUUUCGGCGGUUGGGGAUGGACUCGCGGCUUAUCAGCUUGUUGGUGGGGUAGUGGCUUACCAAGGCUUUGACGGGUAGCCGGCCUGAGAGGGUGACCGGCCACAUUGGGACUGAGAUACGGCCCAGACUCCUACGGGAGGCAGCAGUGGGGAAUAUUGCACAAUGGGCGGAAGCCUGAUGCAGCAACGCCGCGUGCGGGAUGACGGCCUUCGGGUUGUAAACCGCUUUCGCCUGUGACGAAGCGUGAGUGACGGUAAUGGGUAAAGAAGCACCGGCUAACUACGUGCCAGCAGCCGCGGUGAUACGUAGGGUGCGAGCGUUGUCCGGAUUUAUUGGGCGUAAAGGGCUCGUAGGUGGUUGAUCGCGUCGGAAGUGUAAUCUUGGGGCUUAACCCUGAGCGUGCUUUCGAUACGGGUUGACUUGAGGAAGGUAGGGGAGAAUGGAAUUCCUGGUGGAGCGGUGGAAUGCGCAGAUAUCAGGAGGAACACCAGUGGCGAAGGCGGUUCUCUGGGCCUUUCCUGACGCUGAGGAGCGAAAGCGUGGGGAGCGAACAGGCUUAGAUACCCUGGUAGUCCACGCUGUAAACGGUGGGUACUAGGUGUGGGGUCCAUUCCACGGGUUCCGUGCCGUAGCUAACGCUUUAAGUACCCCGCCUGGGGAGUACGGCCGCAAGGCUAAAACUCAAAGGAAUUGACGGGGCCCCGCACAAGCGGCGGAGCAUGCGGAUUAAUUCGAUGCAACGCGUAGAACCUUACCUGGGUUUGACAUGGAUCGGGAGUGCUCAGAGAUGGGUGUGCCUCUUUUGGGGUCGGUUCACAGGUGGUGCAUGGCUGUCGUCAGCUCGUGUCGUGAGAUGUUGGGUUAAGUCCCGCAACGAGCGCAACCCUUGUUCACUGUUGCCAGCACGUUAUGGUGGGGACUCAGUGGAGACCGCCGGGGUCAACUCGGAGGAAGGUGGGGAUGACGUCAAGUCAUCAUGCCCCUUAUGUCCAGGGCUUCACGCAUGCUACAAUGGCUGGUACAGAGAGUGGCGAGCCUGUGAGGGUGAGCGAAUCUCGGAAAGCCGGUCUCAGUUCGGAUUGGGGUCUGCAACUCGACCUCAUGAAGUCGGAGUCGCUAGUAAUCGCAGAUCAGCAACGCUGCGGUGAAUACGUUCCCGGGGCU